GGAUGUGAGGGCAAUCUGGCUGUGACAUCUGUCACCUCAUUGAUAUCCAGGGUUGAUUCAUCUGAUCUGGCUGGCUAGGUGGGUGUCCCCUUCCUCACUGCUCCAUGUGCGUCCCUUCCAAAGCUGCACGCUAGGUCGAAGAGGACGGCCUUCCCCGAAUAGAAGUAUUCCCUAGAACUUUAAUGUUUCCAGUUAUUUAAGUGUAGUUUAGGAGAAUUUCCAACACACGGUGGGGGGACUAUACUAAAAAUACUCAUUGGAUAAAUAUACUGAGGGACCAGGUGAUGGCUCAACUG
ensembl:misc_RNA 7SK 7SK RNA